rnacentral:lncRNA from 1 species
UAAUGUUGAAAAACCUUUUGAUCGAUCAUCUCGACAUCGAUAUGUAUAACCAUGAAAAAUAAAAAGAUUUUAAGUCUCAAAAAUAGUACAUUUUACAACAUAUUAUCUACACCGUCCAUUUUCAAUAUUUUCAAAUGUUUAUAGAUCUACUUGAUUUUAACCAUUUUUUAAAUUUUAAAUUAUAUAAUUAGCUAUAAAAAUAGAUUUUGAGAUAAUCCUAAUGACAUUUUACAUCAAAAUUAUAUACCAUGAUAAAAUCGGAAGGUGCACGUUACCUCUACAGCUAUGGAUGCAACCGCAUGCCAAGUGCACCCUAUUGGAAAAGAUCUAAUAUUCAAG